rnacentral:rRNA from 1 species
GAUGAACGCUAGCUACAGGCUUAACACAUGCAAGUCGAGGGGCAGCAUGGUCUUAGCUUGCUAAGGCCGAUGGCGACCGGCGCACGGGUGAGUAACACGUAUCCAACCUGCCGUCUACUCUUGGACAGCCUUCUGAAAGGAAGAUUAAUACAAGAUGGCAUCAUGAGUCCGCAUGUUCACAUGAUUCAAGGUAUUCCGGUAGACGAUGGGGAUGCGUUCCAUUAGAUAGUAGGCGGGGUAACGGCCCACCUAGUCUUCGAUGGAUAGGGGUUCUGAGAGGAAGGUCCCCCACAUUGGAACUGAGACACGGUCCAAACUCCUACGGGAGGCAGCAGUGAGGAAUAUUGAUCAAUGGGCGAGAGCCUGAACCAGCCAAGUAGCGUGAAGGAUGACUGCCCUAUGGGUUGUAAACUUCUUUUAUAAAGGAAUAAAGUCGGGUAUGGAUACCCGUUUGCGUGUACUUUAUGAAUAAGGAUCGGCUAACUCCGUG